GCUAAUACAUGCGCAAAUAUCCUUUUUCGCAAGAAAGAGGAUAGUGUUUAUUAGAUACAGAACCAAUACACCAUCUGUUAACAGCAGGUGGUGUAAAAAAGGUGAUUCAUAGUAACCGAACGGAUCGCAUUAUGGUCAUUUUAUAUGGCUGGCGAUAGAUCAUUCAAGUUUCUGACCUAUCAGCUUUCGACGGUAGUGUAUUGGACUACCGUGGCAGUGACGGGUAACGGGGAAUUAGGGUUCGAUUCCGGAGAGGGAGCCUGAGAAACGGCUACCACAUCUAAGGAAGGCAGCAGGCGCGCAAAUUACCCAAUCCUGACUCAGGGAGGUAGUGACAAGAAAUAACAACACUGGAAAUUUUAUUUCUAGUGAUUGGAAUGAUGGGAAUUUAAACCCCUUUCAGAGUAACAAUUGGAGGGCAAGUCUGGUGCCAGCAGCCGCGGUAAUUCCAGCUCCAAUAGCGUAUAUUAAAGUUGUUGCAGUUAAAAAGCUCGUAGUUGGAUGUCUGCUGGAAGCAAUCAGUCCGCCCUAUUUGUAGGGUGUGCACUUGAUGAAUUCUGGCAUCUAUGUCCCAAUAAUAUGAUGGUGUAUACCCUGUGUACACCCAUCUAUAUUGGGAUAAUACCGUUACUUUGAGAAAAUUAGAGUGUUUGAAGCAGGCUAAUUGCCUUGAAUACUGCAGCAUGGAAUAACAAUAUAGGAUUUCGGUUCUAUUUUGUUGGUUUCUAGGACUGAAAUAAUGAUUAAUAGGGACAGUUGGGGGCAUUCGUAUUUAACUGUCAGAGGUGAAAUUCUUAGAUUUGUUAAAGACGAA
rnacentral:rRNA from 1 species